UCUCGGGCGACAGGCUUUGCGCGACUUGUACCGCCCGUGUAGCCGAGUUUGGGUCAUUCUUUCAGGUUUUUUUUGUUUGUCCGCGCAUCUGAGAAGUGGGUGUAGAGCAUGGUAAAGAUGGAAGAACUCUUUGUUGUUGUUGUUGUUAUCUGAGCUGGAGCUGCAGCAAUGAUGGAUCCUUUAACCCACUGCAUCUGGCCAGGGAUCAAACCCAUGCCUCUGCAGCAACCCAAGCUGCCACAGUCAGCUUCACCUGCCACAUCACAGCGGGAACUCUAGGGUGGAAGGAUUUUUUUUCUUUUCUUUUUAGGGCUGCACCUGCAGCAUAUGUAAGUUACCAGGCCAGGGGUCUAAUCAGAGCUCAGCUGCCCGUCUACACUGAUGCCUAUGCAGCAACAUGGAUUCGCGCCUCAUCUGCAACCUAUACCACAGCUCUCACUGAGCGAGGCCAGGAAUUGAACCCACGUCCUCAUGGAUAUUAGUCAGGUUCUUAAUCUGAAGAACCACAACAGGACCUCUGUGGGGUGAGAGAAUUCUUUCUGUCCCUAUUUUAUAGGUCUUCUCCCUCUUCUGUGUGCAAAGCACCAGUAAUAAGCCACUGUCAUCACCCUGGUGACCUGGGCUUCCUUUGCCAUGCCUCCUGAAGCUGUCAGCCCUUGGACCAUGUGCAAGGAAAAUCAAAAUGGAGUGGGCAUUAGUAAGAGAGCUCUCCAAAAUGGAGCCAGGAGGCCACUGGGACAAGGACGUGAUGAUAAACCAGUCUCAGUCCGGGCUUCUCUUGGUUCGCUCCAGCCUUGGAUGGGCUUUUCCCCUCACAUCCCAAGAUGACUACCGGAAGUUUCAGGUCUUGAGAGAAUAAGAAGCUUUAGGACUGGAGGCACCCAGAAAAGCCCUCUUGAAGUUGAUAUUUAGCUGGAAAUUUAUUUUAUUGUGUAUUUAAAGAUAUCUAAGGAAGAAACUUCAGUAGCUUCCUGGAUAAAUUACUCAGUGUUUAAUAACUUCUUUAGCUUUCACCUAAAUCUAUUUUCCUGAGUUUAUCUAAGACACUCUGGCUUUAUGAUCAGCAGUGUUAUUAUUCUACAUUUUCACAAUUCAGCAUUCACAGUGCAACAACCCUCACUGAGCAACAUGGGUCUCUCAGACAGUGGGAUUUAUGUGAGUUGGUUGGACAGGUGAGUUGAGGGGACUUAAAAAAAACUCCAUCCAUGGGACCAAUGGAUGAAAACUCUGUCAUGAGCAAGUGUCAGAGCUCUUGCCUUGAGCUGUGGUGACUCACUGCAUGUCCCCGGGCCCAGGAAUCCUUCAUGUUGUUUCUUCUC